GACGAACGCUGGCGGCGUGCUUAACACAUGCAAGUCGAACGGAAAGGCCCUGCUUUUGUGGGGUGCUCGAGUGGCGAACGGGUGAGUAACACGUGAGUAACCUGCCCUUGACUUUGGGAUAACUUCAGGAAACUGGGGCUAAUACCGGAUAGGAGCUCCUGCUGCAUGGUGGGGGUUGGAAAGUUUCGGCGGUUGGGGAUGGACUCGCGGCUUAUCAGCUUGUUGGUGGGGUAGUGGCUGACCAAGGCUUUGACGGGUAGCCGGCCUGGGAGGGUGGCCGGCCUCAUUAGUACUGAGGUACGGACCAGAGUCCAACGGGAGGCAAUAGUGGGAAAUAUGACACAGUGGGCCGAAGCCUGAUGCAGCAACGCCGCGUGCGGAAUGACGGCCUUCGGGUUAUAAACCGCUUUCGCCUGAGACGAAGCGGGAGUGACGGUAAUGGAUAAAGAAGCACCGGCUAACUACGUG
rnacentral:rRNA from 1 species